GAGGCGGGACGAUCUGCCGCGGCCGCAAGGCUGAGGAAAGUCCGGACAGGGCAGGGCAUUCCGCUGUGGAAAGCGCAGACAGGGGUAACCUUGUGCAUACCGUAACAGAAAACUACCGCCCGCAAGGGUAAGGGUGAAAACGCGGGGCAAGAGCCCACGACCGCCAGACGGCGACGCCUGCGGGGUACGGUACCGGAACCUGCAAGACCAAAUAUACCGGCAGAUGAGGGCUGCCCGCCCGAUGCCGGGGGGUAGGUUGCGAAGAUAAAUGGCAGAU
rnacentral:RNase_P_RNA from 1 species